CGCACGUGGAAAGUGACGAAUUUAUGAGAAUAUUUACCCGAUUUCGAAGACGUCUACAACGCUGUCGUUGCCCAGGUUGAGCAGCUGCCAAUGCCACUAACAAUAAGAUAAUAAUGAAGAAUUUCAUUUUUGCAGAGUGAUUUGUCUAUUCUCACAAUUUCUCCUGGUGUAUAUUUUAUGAUACCGAGGAGGCGGUAAGUCCUUUUAUAUACAAAACAAGAUGACUCGUGAAUGUGAAAUAAAUACUCAAGUUGUUGUUACAUGCUUAUUUGCACACUUGACGAGGUUCUUAUUGAGGAAAAAAAGUCUGCCUUUGUUCAUUUUCCCCACAACAAAAUUUGACGUUUGAGAUAACGAGUGUUAUUGGUUGGAUUGGCCUGAUCUGCCGCAAUAUUUUUCAGAAAAUUUUAUUUGCAAAAUUCCAUCAUACCACAAGGCAGCGUUGAUAGUUUUGAGUAGAGAAGAAAAAGUUGCUCCUGACGAUGAAGAUCUUGGCAAUUUCUGUUAUAAUUGCGAUGUUAUCAGUAGCGGUCAAUGCGCAACGCGACAGAGGCCUUGGAGAAUCGUGCUCUGAUAGUCUCCAGUGUUCGUCGGCUUAUUGUUACGACGGAAGGUGUAUUGAGUGGGGGACAAUCCAGGGUGAAGCGGGCCGUACGAAUCCUUGCUGGUUAGUCAGAUGUGCUGGGGGGCCUUGUGUCAUUGAACAAGGUCGAUGUUCCAACCCACCAUGUCCUGGUGGACCAAGCUGUCGGCCACCUCAAUAAAUUUUCCAUUGCAAAACAAACUUAUAAAAUUGAGAUUUUUCGUCAUCAAAAUCAACGCUGAUCAGCUUAUCAUUCUACAUAAUUUUUUAUGUCUAUGUAUAUAAUCUACAUUAUAUAUACUAUAUGUAUAAGUGUGUCUAUCGUUGUUACAAAAAUUCAUUCAAUCUCAAAAGUUGAAAUGAACUUGUCGAAUUAAACUUAUGAUUGAAGCAAUUAAAUUUGCACUUGUAAUUAAAUGAAUUAUAAAUUAUAAAGUAUCAGAAUUAAUAAAUACGUUUAAUGAUAUCAUAUGUGAAACUGUCCCGAGACCGUUGUCCACCGUCCCAUUGCUCUUUCCUCGACAUUUCCCAAAGUCGACAGCACUCUAAAUUCUUAUUAUACAUUCCAAAAUGUAAAACCAGUGACUCAUGUAAAAAUCCUUCCUUUUAGUAACAAAGAGGCGAGAUAAAAGAUAUUAUUGCUGUCAGUCAAGUUGUGCAAACAUUUGUCGGAGGAAAGAAGGGGACGUAAAAUACUCGCUCAAGCGAUUUACUUUGUAUAACCGGGGGAAUCCCCGGUUCAAUCGCUCUCCUACAUGCACUCGCAUGCGACAUUGAAAUUAUAAAAAACUCUGUCAUCGUCGACUGGCUAGAUAUCCGUUGUGAUUGAUGUUUUCACAACGGCUGUCCAUGAACAAUGACCCGUCUAGCCAGACUUCCAGGAUUUGUUGAGUCAAUUAUUAUUAGAAAUAAUGAACAGUGAAGAAGAUUGUUAUUAUACAAUAGAUGACGUAGGGAAGAGCCGUUACACGGAAUUGGUAUUUCAGUCACCGGCUUCGGAACGACGAAAAAAAUACGUAAUUUUUAUAAAAUAUUGCUCUCAGUGAAUUUUCAUUAUUUCAGUUUUGAUCGUGUCACCCAUCGAAUCUUUUAAAUUUUUCUUCAGACUAUUGUCGUGAACUAGUGGCUUCAAUAAUACAAUAAAAAAUGAUUGCUUAUUAUUUAUUUUAGUCACUAAAAUUAUGAAUCCAGUCGAGUAAGAAAAACAAUGUAAUAAUCCGCAAUAAAUCAGCGAAUAUGAAAUCAUCAUAACAUUUAAGGCCAAAUAUAUCUGAGGAAUAAUCAUUGUACAGUAAGAGGGGAUUCAAUUUUUGUGUAAUUAAAACAAAAAGAGUAGUCAGAGGAGAAGGAGAAGGAAAAUCUUCAAACAUCUAUAAAAGAAGGGAUUCCCGAACUCACUUGUAUUCAGAAACUAUUUUCCCAUCGAAACGUCAGCUCUUUCGACAUAAAAUAAUGAAAAUUUUCGCUGUUUUCGUCUCGCUGCUGUGCGUAAUAGUUUCAAUGGAAGAAGUCAGAUCCAAGGAAAUUCCGUGCACCACGAGUUCUGAAUGCAGCACGAAAUACUGCCGCUUUGGAGUAUGCACUACUUGGGGACAGAAUGAAGGGGAGGAAGGUCGUGAAAAUCCCUGCAAUUUGACAGAUUGUGCAAGCGGAUACUCUUGUGUCAUUAUGCAAGUGAAUUGUCUCGUGGCACCGUGUCCUGGGGCGUCGUACUGCGUUAAGGACUCUGCAACUCGAUAGAUUAUUCAAAAUUCAUUUCUGGAAAAGUCGCUCUUCUGGAACGAGUUUACUCUGUCCCUGUCUCAUCAGAUAUUUUUUCAAAUCUGUCUAUUUUAAUUGAAAAUAUCAUGGCAAAAGAUUAUUAACAUCGCAUGAUUAUAAACUGGACUUUUAAAUGAAUUUUCGAUAACAGAACAUGUCAAAAUUCUAGAUUUUUUGAGACUCACUUGUCAACGAAUCAUUAAAGAUGAAGAAUGCGUAUCAGACAUAUGUAAUAAAAUCUAUCAUUGUUAUAAUUUAUAAUAAUUAUAUUGAAAUUUAUCACGUUUACAGUUCACUCAAAAAAUACACUAGUCUGAGUACAUCUUAUUCAGCACAUUCGACAGAUCGAAUUAAAGAUGUCGCCAUGGAUUGAUCCUGAAGAUAUUGGGUCCUUCCGCCGUAUCGUCGUAAUCUGAUAAAUUGAAAAUGAGAAAUUAGUUCAUAUUUUUUUUAUCAUCGAACAAAUGUCACCUAAACCUAUCAAUAAUAAAAAUUACCUUCUCUAA